AGCACUUCCUCAUAGUUCUCUGCAUCCGCGGUGGCGGCGGCACAUGUGCAUUAUCUCAACCAUAAAAAGAUCAAUAGGCACUUCAGGCUUGCGGAUGCAGAGAACCUGCAACAUCAUGAGUAAUCGCAACUGAGGUAUUCAUCAUGUGCUCCUUGCUAUCAUUGAAUCUCUGAAAAAUGGAGAUUUAAUACAUUAACUAUAAUAAAGAACUGGAGCAGAGUAACCUCCAAGAUUUUGCACUUCCUUCUUCUAUACAUCCAUCAACUGAUCGAUACAACCCUAGAAACGAGAUGAGAAGAUUUUGUUUCAUUUUGAGAGGAUACCAUAAUUACACAAAACAAAAGAAAUUCAAAAUUCAAAGCCCUAAUUUGAAUUUUUACAGCAUCCACACAACUACAAUUACAGAAACAAAAGAAAUUCGGAAUUCGUAGUCCUAAUUUAAAUUUACAGCAUUCACACACCCAUAAAUUAAUAAAAAAAAAUAAAAGAAAUUAGCUAUUCGAACCCUAAUUUGAGGCAAACAACUAACCUCUGGCUGAGGAGGCUACUCGUCUCCAUUGGAUGGAGGCGACGAAGAUGGCGAUACCGCUUGCUGCUGAUGGUGGCAGCUACGGUGGCAGACGGCGAUGUGGCGAGCGACGACGGAGGCGCGCUGUCUACUGUGUGCCUGUGCGGGUGCAAGCGCGGCUGUUUGAGGCGAGCACUCAUUGAGCAGUCGUUCGUCGAAUGAAAGAGAAGGCGAAUCGUGGAAGCGCCGAGCUGGUGUAGGAGGCGACGACAGCUGGGGGUGGCAGGCGGCAGUCGGGGGUGGCAGGCGGCAGUCGGGGGUGGCAGGUUGCAGCGGCGGAUGGGAGCUGCAACCUAGGGUUCUUUGUUAAAACUUACUCUAAUUUUUUUUUUAAAUGCAAAA
rnacentral:lncRNA from 1 species